rnacentral:rRNA from 1 species
AUGCAUGAACUUGUUACCAGUGCAAUGGCGUCCCUGGUGGCCAUGACUAGUAUGUCGGCGCAGGAGACCCGGUUCCGGCACCGUGGCACGGCGUCGACGGCCGCCUUGGCCUUGAUCACCGUGUCGAAGCCGUCGCCGGCCAGCGACAGGUUGGCAGUGCUGUCCUUCUCCGCCGUGUUGUUGGCCGUGGACGCGAUCAGCACCGACGCGUCGCACCCCUACAUGCACACAAACUCGUGGAAGAAGAGGUGCACGGUGGCGCCCACGGUGAUGAAGGUCUGCUGGAACUUCUUGGCGACGGCGCCCCGGACGAUGGCUUCGACGUCGGGGCACACGCCGGCAUAA